UACGUAGGGGGCAAGCGUUAUCCGGAAUUACUGGGUGUAAAGGGUGAGUAGGCGGCAUGGUAAGCCAGAUGUGAAAGCCUUGGGCUUAACCCGUGGAUUGCAUUUGGAACUAUCAAGCUAGAGUACAGGAGAGGAAAGCGGAAUUCCUAGUGUAGCGGUGAAAUGCGUAGAUAUUAGGAAGAACACCAGUGGCGAAGGCGGCUUUCUGGACUGAAACUGACGCUGAGGCACGAAAGCGUGGGGAGCGAACAGG
rnacentral:rRNA from 1 species